UACAUAUGAGGGCCAAAAAAUUGAAGACUAGUGCAUUUGAAGGGCAAUCCGUGCCAAAACUUGUAUAAAAGGUCAACAUCUAAGUCCACCUAAAAAUAGAAAUUCACAAUUUUCCCUCCCAUUUGAUGUUUGGUGAGGAAAAUCAAGAAUAAUAAGGGGACACAGAAUUGGAUUUUAGCAGAGCUCUUCUCUAAAAUGGGUAAUAAGCAGAAGAGAGACAGAAACAAUUUAAUUGCUUUGACGGGUGGCGCUGCUAUUGUAGCUAUUGCUGUUAACUUUGCUAUCUUCGCUUUCAACAAGAAAUAUCGCAAUAAAACAGAUGUUCCAGGUUCAAGAGUUCGAGUGAAUCUAUCUGCUUCUGAAAUUUUGAAAUUGGCAGAAAGCAUAAUUAACAAAUCGAAUCAGGUUCAUGAAGCUGUUGCUUCAGUUCCACUUGACAAGGUUAGCUAUGUAAAUGUGAUAUCGCCAUUGGCAGAGUUGGAGGCAGAGCAGUUCCCAUUGAUACAGUCAUGUGUCUUUCCUAAAUGGUUAUCAGCUUCUGAGGAUGUACGCAAAGCUAGUGCUGAAGCAGAGAGAAAAAUAGAUGCUCACAUUUCAAUGUGCAGGAAGCGCGAGGAUGUGUACAGAGUUGUCAAAGCUUUGACAGUAACAGGGGACGGAUUGAGUACUGAUGCUAAAAGCUUUACUCGGUUCCUGGUUCGAGAAUUUGAAAGGAAUGGUGUGAAUCUGACCUUAUCUAAGAAAGAGGAGUUGCAGCGUUUAACAGCAAAUAUUGAUGAGCUAAGCAUGCAAUACAUUCGUAAUCUGGAUAAUGAUUGUAGUUUUCUACUUUUCACUGAUAUGGAGCUAGAAGGGUUACCCCCGGAAUUUCUCAAGAGCUUAGAAAGAUCUGAAGAUGGUAAAAGAAAAAUCAAUUUGAGAAGCCAUCAAAUUUCACCGGUGCUAGAGCUUUGCAAGGUGGGAUCAACCAGAAGAGCUGUUGCUAUUUCCUAUGGGCGCAGAUGUGAAGACAAUGUUACUAUCCUUGAACAGCUGAUUCAGAUGCGUCACAAACUUGCUAGAUUGCUUGGAUUUGCAAAUUAUGCUGACUAUGCCACUGAUGUUAGAAUGGCAAAGUCUUCCUCUAAGGUGUUUGAGUUCUUGGAGAGUCUCUCUGCCAGCUUGAAUGAUUUAGCCCACAGGGAACUUUCGAUGCUUAAAGAAUUAAAGAAGAAAGAGGAAGGUGAAUCUCCUUUUGGCAUGGAGGAUCUCUCAUACUAUGUCAAAAGAAUCAAAGAUCAACAAUUCCAUACGAAUUUCGGAGCAAUUAGACAGUACUUCCCUAUCAAUUUGGUUUUGUCCGGCAUCUUCAAAAUCUGCCAAGACUUAUUUGGUUUAAGUUUCAAAGAAGUUGAAGGUGCUGCGGUUUGGCAUCCAGAUGUUCAGCUUUUUUCAGUUUCAGAUCUAAGUUCUAAAGAACUUGUUGGUUAUUUUUACCUAGAUCUGUACUCCAGAGUAGGCAAAUAUGCUCACACCUGUGUCAUAGCGCUUCAGAACGGUUUACUAAAUAAUGGUUCUACACAGAUUCCUGUGGCGCUGCUUGUUUCUCAAUUUGAAAAGGAAGUUGAUGCUCACCCUGGGUUGUUGCAGUUCUCGGAAGUGGUUAAUCUUUUUCAUGAAUUUGGUCAUGUGGUGCAUCACAUUUGCAACUGUGCAUCAUUUUCCAAAUUCUCAGGGCUGCGUCUGGAUCCUGAUUUUGUGGAGAUCCCUGGCCUUUUGAUGGAGAAUUGGUGCUACGAAAGCCUCUCCUUGAGACUGAUCUCUGGCUUUCAUCAGGAUAUUACGAAACCCAUUAAGGAUGAGCUUUGUAAAUCACUUAAGAAAUGGCGAUGCUCCUUCUCAGCACUGAAACUGAAACAGGAGAUCUUUUAUUGUCUAUUUGAUCAAAUUAUCCAUUCAACUGAGAAUGUUGAUAUUAAUGGGCUGUUCAAGCAUCUCUAUCCAAAGGUUAUGGUAGGAUUACCGCUUCUAGGAGGAAUAAAUCCAGCUUCAUGUUUUCCUCGAACUGCUAUUGGCUACGAGGCCACUUGCUACAGUCACAUCUGGAGUGAGGUCCUGCUCAUCCUUGCUCGUAUCCAUUUACAUAACAAGUUUGUCAUUAAUGGACGUUCCCAAAGGCUAAUAGCUUUUGGUCUUUGCUGCUGAUAUAUUUGCCAUGAAGUUUCAUGAUGAUAUUUUCAACCUACAAGCAGGCUUGCAAUUUAGGAAUAAGGUAUUGGCCCCUGGAGGUGUAAAAGACCCCCUUGAAAUGUUAUCAGAUUUUCUUGGGAGGGAACCAUCAAUACAAGCUUUUCUUGACAGUAGAGCUGACAUAAACUAGAGCUUUGUUUCACUUUUGAUAGCAGGGUGAUUUUUUGCUGCUACAUCCUGUAGAGUUUUAGUAUCCGGCAGGAAAUGUACUAUUUUCCAUUAUCAAAAUAGCAUGUAAAAUAAAAAACACUCCAAAAAAUCUGUGGUUGAGCUGUUGCUAAUGUAAGGUUAUUCUCCCUUUCGGGUUUCAUAUUUAUUUCUGUACCAAAUUUUUGAGAGGGGGUCCAAUGUACAACAAAAGAAGUUUUUGCACGGAUUGCCCUUCAAACAUAUUGGUCUUUAAUUUUGGCUCCUCAUA